rnacentral:lncRNA from 1 species
CUGAGGCUGAGUGCCUAAUAGAAAAUACUGAGAGCAUGUGCUGGGGGAAUGGUUUCCUUCUAAAUUCUAAAUGAUUCCUUGAAAAGCCUAGAUUUAGUAAGAACACCUUUACUUUCCAAAGAAAUUUUAAGUGAGUUGUGCAUUAGGAUCUUCAUGCAGGGUUGAGGAAGGAAGAUAGGGUACUUACAGCAUAGUUUCUCCAGUAUUAGCAUCUUAGGUGCUUUAAUAGCAAGUACUACCUGAAGCUUUUCCUACAGCUGGAGAAUUUUUAUCAUCUGCUUUGCAGAUUUUCUGCCUUGCGGAGUGAGAUCAUGGGUUCAUUUUUGCAGAAGCUUUGCUCUUCUUCUGUCCACCUAUAUUCAAAUCCACCCAUAAGAACCUUUCUGUCAGGAGUGAGCUCCCUGAAUUUGGAGGGGACGACCAAAAGACACGCCGACACCAUGAAGCUGCAGGGAGGUUUCCUUCAGGAAGAAGCUUCCGCAGCCGGGAUGAACCUGUUCCCACAGCAGGUUUCAUAGCCUGUAUCCAGCGUGGCAAAAAUGGGUUGCUGACACUUUGUAUGCAAUGAAGAGAUGUUGACUUUAUAGAAAUAUUAAGUGAAUCCAUUAAUCUGUUAUGAGCAAUUGCCUUCCUGGUAAGUCCUGCAUUUUCCCAUUUAUUGUAUUUGGUCUCAGCCAAACUGUUACCAUUCCAGAACAGCAUGCCAAUAAUCAGCUCAGACAGAGGUUUUACAACUCAGAGAAAUGGGGUCUAUUAAAUUCGUCUGAACUUUAGAAAAACCAACCUGUACAAUUCCAAAUACAUCACAGUUCCAGAAAGGGAAUGACCAUUACAAUUUAUUUUAUGACUGUUUUGCCACCCAAUACAUACAUUUCAACUCUUCAUAAGGUUUUACACUGUAUUCUGUAGUAAACAACAGGCUUUACUGAAUAUCACAGAAAAGAACAAUCUUUAAUCAAGUUAAUAAAAAAAUGUGCUCAUGAUUUACGCA